rnacentral:miRNA from 10 species
UUCACAAGUUUCAGAGUACAUCAGAAGCACCUUGAUAAAAAUUCAGAUUCUAGAUGACCCAGGGAGAUUUAAUUUAAUAAAUCUGGUGUGGAGUUGAGGAAUCUGCAUUUUUAACAAGCACCCUAAGUGACUGUCUAAUU